UGAAUACGAGAUGCUACGGCGUCGAAGCAGUCUAUGUCAUACUUCCAAGAAAAGCUCGCACUGUCAUAAACAAAUAAUGCCUGUACCAUAACCGACACAGGUGGGUAGGUAGAGUAUACUAAGGGGCGCGAGAUAACUCUCUCUAAGGAACUCGGCAAAAUGACUCCGUAACUUCGGGAGAAGGAGUGCCUUAUUUAUAAGGUUGCAAUAACAAGAUCCAAGCAACUGUUUAUCAAAAACACAGGUCUCCGCUAAGUCGUAAGACGAUGUAUGGGGGCUGACGCCUGCCCAGUGCCAGAAGGUUAAAGAAGUUGGUUAGCAUUCGCGAAGCUGAUAACUGAAGCCCUGGUGAACGGCGGCCGUAACGAUAACGGUCCUAAGGUAGCGAAAUUCCUUGUCGGGUAAGUUCCGACCCGCACGAAAGGCGUAAUGAUUUGGAUACUGUCUCGGAGAGGGGCUCGGUGAAAUAGACUUCUGUGAAGAUGCGGACUACCUGCACCAGGACAGAAAGACCCUAUGAAGCUUUACUGUAACUUGAGAUUGAAAUUGGACUUUACUUGCGCAGUAUAGGUGGGAGGCGUUGAUAAUAUUCUUGCGGGAUUAUUUGAGCCAUAAGUGAGAUACCACUCUUGUAAUGUUAGAUUUCUAACUUUGUAUCAUUAUCUGGUCAAAGGACAGUUUCAGGCGGGCAGUUUGACUGGGGCGGUCGCCUCCUAAACGGUAACGGAGGCGCACAAAGGUUUCCUCUGAACGGGUAGAAAUCGUAUCUAGAGUGUAAAGGCAUAAGGAAGCUUGACUGUGAGACCUACAAGUCGAGCAGGGACGAAAGUCGGUCUUAGUGAUCUGACGGUGCUGAGUGGAAAGGCCGUCACUCAACGGAUAAAAGUUACUCUAGGAUAACAGGCUGAUCUCCCCCAAGAGUUCACAUCGACGGGGAGGUUUGGCACCUCGAUGUCGGCUCAUCGCAUCCUGGGGCGGUAGUACGUCCCAAGGGUUGGGCUGUUCGCCCAUGAAAGCGGUACGCGAGCUGGGUUCAGAACGUCGUGAGACAGUUCGGUCCAUAUCCGGUGUAGGCGUUAGAAUAUUGAGAGGAGCCUUCUUUAGUACGAGAGGACCGAGAAGGACAUACCUCUGGUGUACCAGUUAUCGUGCCAACGGUAAACGCUGGGUAGCUAUGUAUGGAGUGGAUAACCGCUGAAAGCAUCUAAGUGGGAAGCCCACCUCAAGAUAAGUAUUC
rnacentral:rRNA from 1 species